GUGCUCGGUUCGGCAGCACGCAUACUAAAAUUGGAAUGAUACAGAGAAGAUUAGCAUGGCCCCUGCGCAAGGAUGACACACAAAUUUGGGAAGCGUUACAUAUUUUU